rnacentral:tRNA from 1 species
GCAAAGAUGGCUCAGUGGUAGAGCGCUUGCCUUGCAUGCAGGAGGCACUGGGUUCAAUUCCUCAGCA